GAUUGAUUUGACUGGGCACGCGAGUGGUAAACUCUAGGGUAAACUGCAUUUAAAAUGUAUGGGGGAAAUCAGGUAAAAUUAAUUAUUUUGAAUAUAAAUCAAAACUAAGGCUUGAAAAGUAGACGUAGUGACGUAGGUUAUUUUUUUAUCUACUACCAGGAGAAAUUUUACCCCACUCCCUUGCAUGGUGAGGGAGAUUUUUGAAAAAAACUGAUUUUCCUUGUAUAAAUUUAAAUUUUUUACCACUACUCGUACAGUGCCAUCUCUUAGAAAUUUUGCCGCGGCGGAUACCCUAUUAUCUUAACACUGCAACUAUUAAUCAUGCAAAUAACUAUUUUAAUUAAAAACAUAUAAAAAAAUAAAACAAUAAAAACCUUUAGCAGGUAAAUUUCGCGCAACAUUGCCUAAACGCACCUAACAGUGUAUGUUUACAUCCAGUUGGACAUCUGUGCGCGUCGCGAAAACGUCAGCUAGUUUGCGUAUUUCGCUGUUUGCGAAUGAAUUACGGUGCAAUUUUUUUGAUGAUGUUUCGUAUGGAUUCGAAACGAGUGCAUCUGUGUUUGUGGAUAUCUUUCAAGACGGCAUCCGUGAGUCUUCUGAACGAUCAAGAAGAAACAGGAUAAAUUUGAGACCUAAACCCAGAUCCAGCAGACGAACCUGAUUGAUACACGGAUCAAUAAGCUUCUGUUCGGUGCGGCUAAUCCAGCCGGAUUUGGCAAGUUGGCGAUCCAGACCUUUCCAAAAUGGUCAAACCGACUUUCAGAGGGAACCUUUGUUGACGGAGCUGGAAACAGAACCGAUUUCGCGUGGAUUUUUUUUUCAGAGAAAGCGAAGCAUUUCGCAGCAUGUUUUUGUUUGUAUGUUGACAUGUUUUAUUGUGGACAACAUUUGAAAGAUAAACUUCUAGUCUAGGAUAACGUAUAACGUAUUGAAGAAUAUUACCAGCAACCUAAUGGACAAAUCAGAUAAGUUAACAUUAAAUGUAGUAAGCUAGAUACUGUGUAGUUUGUUUUCUUUUUUCAGGUUUAAACCAAGAGCAACAAGAUCACCAGGUGAACUCUCGAUAGCCCGGCGUUGCACGACUGCUUCGUUUUCCUUCAGAAGCGGCUGCUGAAGUUACGUUAAACUUGGAACCCAUCCAUCCGACCGACGAUUUCCACAGGAUGGCGGAGAUGGAGCUGAUAUUCAGUCAACUUUCUACCGCAUUGGAUGCCUCCUUGAUCUGUGAUUUUUUUUUCCUCUGUAUAAUUUAAUCCUAAGAUUUUUGGUGGAAUUUUUUGUGUUUUUGUGAAAUAAAAAAAUAAAUAAGCUAUUUGACCAAAGCAAAAUAAAUGUUUCUAGCUCAAAAUUCCGAAAAUCCUUGAAAAAUUGAUGUUCAUUCGAAUUGUUACAACUAUUUCUCAAAAUGUAAUGCGCCAUGAAAAAUCACUGAAAUAACUAUUUAAAACCAUAAAAAUACCAUUUGAGAAAUGGUGAAAUCCCUAAAAUAUAUACGCAAAAAUGAACUUUCAAAAAGCAUUUGACUAAGUGUCGCUAGAAGAAAAAAUCAAAUAGUGAAUAUUGCUAACAACAUAUAUGGGGAAUAGUUCACUAUUUGAGAGACGGUGAGGAAUUAAAAAAAUGAUUUACCAAAUAGUGGCUAUACAAUUUGUCAAAAUGUUGAUUGAAUAUUUAACAAAUGAUUUCCAAACGGUUUUUUUCU